rnacentral:rRNA from 1 species
AUUGAACGCUGGCGGCAGGCCUAACACAUGCAAGUCGAACGGUAACAGAAAGCAGCCUGCUGCUUUGCUGACGAGUGGCGGACGGGUGAGUAAUGUCUGGGAAACUGCCUGAUGGAGGGGGAUAACUACUGGAAACGGUAGCUAAUACCGCAUAACGUCGCAAGACCAAAGAGGGGGACCUUCGGGCCUCUUGCCAUCGGAUGUGCCCAGAUGGGAUUAGCUAGUAGGUGGGGUAACGGCUCACCUAGGCGACGAUCCCUAGCUGGUCUGAGAGGAUGACCAGCCACACUGGAACUGAGACACGGUCCAGACUCCUACGGGAGGCAGCAGUGGGGAAUAUUGCACAAUGGGCGCAAGCCUGAUGCAGCCAUGCCGCGUGUAUGAAGAAGGCCUUCGGGUUGUAAAGUACUUUCAGCGGGGAGGAAGGGAGUAAAGUUAAUACCUUUGCUCAUUGACGUUACCCGCAGAAGAAGCACCGGCUAACUCCGUG